rnacentral:rRNA from 1 species
GAUGAACGCUGGCGGCGUGCCUAAUACAUGCAAGUCGAGCGAACAGACGAGGCGCUUGCUCCUCUGAAGUUAGCGGCGGACGGGUGAGUAAUACGUGGCUAACCUACCUAUAAGAAUGGGAUCACUUAGGGAAACCUGAUAUAAUAUCGGUCCAUAUAUUGAAACGGAUGGUUCUUUAGUGAAAGCCGGAUUUGAUGACCCUUAUAGAUAGUUGCGCGCCGCAUUAGCUAGUUGGUAAGGUAACGGCUUACCAAGGCGACGAUGCGUAGCCGACCUGAGAGGAUGAUCAGCCACACUGGAACUGAGACACGGUCCAGACUCCUACGGGAGGCAGCAGUGGGGAAUCUUCCGCAAUGGGCGAAAGCCUGACGGAGCAACGCCGCGUGAGUGAAGAAGGUCUUCGGAUCGUAAAGCUCUGUAAGUAGGGAAGAACAAAAGUGUAAGUAACUAUGCAUGUCUUGACGUUACCUAAACAGAAAGCCACGGCUAACUACGUG